UCCGUAGGUGGCAAUCGUUGUCCGGAAUUAUUGGGCGUAAAGGGCGUGUAGGUGGAUCUUUAAGUCGUGUGUCUAAGUGCGGUGCUCAACGCCGUAUGGGCGCAGGAAACUGGGGAUCUUGAGUGCAGGAGAGGAAAGCGGAAUUCCCAGUGUAGCGGUGAAAUGCGUAGAUAUUGGGAGGAACACCAGUGGCGAAGGCGGCUUUCUGGACUGUGUCUGACACUGAGGCGCGAAAGCCAGGGGAGAGAACGGG
rnacentral:rRNA from 1 species